UACAGAGGGUGCGAGCGUUGUCCGGAAUCACUGGGCGUAAAGGGCGCGUAGGCGGCCUGGCAAGUCUGUGGUGAAAGCUCAGGGCUUAACUCUGAGUCGGCCAUCGAUACUGCGAGGCUCGAGUCUGGUAGAGGCAGAUGGAAUUCCGGGUGUAGCGGUGGAAUGCGUAGAGAUCCGGAAGAACACCGGUGGCGAAGGCGGUCUGCUGGGCCAGUACUGACGCUGAGGCGCGACAGCGUGGGGAGCAAACAGG
rnacentral:rRNA from 2 species